GGUUUGGUCAUGUCCAACAUAGAGUAUGGCUCAGUAUAAAAGUGUGAUAAAUUAGUAGUAAAAGAAGUGAGAAGGGGAAGGAGGAAACAUAAAAUGAUGUAGAGGGAAAUAAUAUCGAAAUAUUUUCAAUUUUUGAAUAUUGAUGUUGAAUUGAUUUUCAAGUUCAAACAGAGUUGAAUUGCGAAAAAGAACUAGUCUGGGAUUUAAGUUUAGUUGUUGUUAUUGUAUUAUUGAAGUUAUGGACUAAUAUAUAUGUUUUUUUUCUAUACUUUUUAAUGUGGAAUAUGUUAAAAUUUCAGCAUUCAGACUUUUGAUAUAUUGGAACAAUCAUUUGUAAUCAGCAUAGAUGGCAAAUGAUUUUGGCAUUGCAGUAUAAUGUUAUUUCUGAGCAUUGAAAAUAACAAGUGGAG
rnacentral:misc_RNA from 1 species